UAUGGGUUUCAUGAUUUUAUCCAACAUUUGAUGCUAAAAGAAAUAGGACAAAGUGUUUCUAAUAAAUAUAACAUUGUGCCCAACAUCUGAUUUUCUUGUUUAGAAUUCAAGAUACUAAAGCUUUCACCAAUUAGAGUUGUUAAAAUGGCAGGAACUUCCAGUCAUUAAAGGGGUUCUUUCUUUUGAUUCCUCAAACCAAUAUGGUUGCCGUCUUGCUCGUACACACUAAAAUUUAACUGUGAAGAAAGAAAAAACUGCACAUGGCAAGACUCUGUUCCUGGAAAUCUCAUUUACUUGUGUUCAGCGUCUACAUGCACAAAACUACUGCCGAGAAUCUAGUUCUUUCUUUUUCAAAAUCCAUAUUGUCGAACACUUCGGAAAAGCCUUCAACUUUCCAAACAAUGCCCAUUGAAAUCCUUGACCACCUUGAACCAUCAAUCCCAACCUGAAAUAUUCCAUAAGUUGUAUAAAAAGUCCAAUUUAUUUCAUAAGAUGUCAAUCACUAACAAACAGC
rnacentral:lncRNA from 1 species